GCAGCUGCAGGGUCCUUAGUUGGGCAGCAGCUGUAGCUCGUGAAGGCAACUGAGAUAAAUAGGGGUGGGUCAAGAGCCCAAGAGGAGCCCCUGAGAAGAUAGAAGAGCCCCGUGUGAAGACAACGCUGCAGCCAAACAGAGAGAGAGAGAGAAGGAAAAUGAUUGAUGCUUGAUUUCAGUCUGCCUCAAGUAAUUUUAACUGUCUGAUGAAAGAGCACUCCCGAGACAACUGUAAGACCAUCAUCCCAUGUGCAGCCAAUGGAGCCAAACAACUGUUCUUAUCUCAACAGACAACAGAAAACUGUUACCUGAAUUCUUCUCCACAUUCCACCCACAUUGGAGGGAAGAGAAGGGGAGAAUUAAACUGUGUGGUGUUUAAUUUCCAGCUGGACCUAAAACCACUUCAGUCAGAUAUAAAGUGCUUCACAUA